rnacentral:rRNA from 1 species
GACGAACGCUGGCGGCGUGCUUAACACAUGCAAGUCGAACGGAAAGGCCCUGCUUUUGUGGGGUGCUCGAGUGGCGAACGGGUGAGUAACACGUGAGUAACCUGCCCUUGACUUUGGGAUAACUUCAGGAAACUGGGGCUAAUACCGGAUAGGAGCUCCUGCUGCAUGGUGGGGGUUGGAAAGUUUCGGCGGUUGGGGAUGGACUCGCGGCUUAUCAGCUUGUUGGUGGGGUAGUGGCUUACCAAGGCUUUGACGGGUAGCCGGCCUGAGAGGGUGACCGGCCACAUUGGGACUGAGAUACGGCCCAGACUCCUACGUGAGACAGCAGUGGGGAAUAUUGCACAAUGGGCGGAAGCCUGAUGCAGCAACGCCGCGUGCGGGAUGACGGCCUUCGGGUUGUAAACCGCUUUCGCCUGUGACGAAGCGGGAGUGACGGUAAUGGGUAAAGAAGCACCGGCUAACUACGUG